ACACACACACACACACACACACACACACACACCAACCAACAACAGUGUGUGUGUGUGUGUGUGUGUGUGUGUGUGUGUGU